UACGGAGGGUGCAAGCGUUGCUCGGAAUUAUUGGGCGUAAAGGGUAGGUAGGUGGUCUCAUUUGUCUGGGGUGAAAGCCUUGGGCUUAACUCAAGAAGUGCCCCAGAAACGGUGAGACUGGAGUCCUGGAGAGGGUCGUGGAAUUCCCGGUGUAGCGGUGAAAUGCGUAGAGAUCGGGAGGAACACCAGAGGCGAAAGCGGCGACCUGGACAGGCACUGACACUGAGGCACGAAAGCUAGGGGAGCAAACAGG
rnacentral:rRNA from 1 species